GACCCGGUAGUGCCCGGCAUGCAUCUGAUUUUCAUAAGCUGAAGGUGCCUUGAAAGAUUAAUCAGACGGACCUGGUUCCAUUCCAGGCUGGGUCA